GGCUUAGUGGUGGGGUGACUGCGUACCUUUUGUAUAAUGGGUCAGCGACUUAUAUUCUGUAGCAAGGUUAACCGAAUAGGGGAGCCGGAGGGAAACCGAGUCUUAAUUGGGCGUUAAGUUGCAGGGUAUAGACCCGAAACCCGGUGAUCUAGCCAUGGGCAGGUUGAAGGUUGGGUAACACUAACUGGAGGACCGAACCGACUAAUGUUGAAAAAUUAGCGGAUGACCUGUGGCUGGGGGUGAAAGGCCAAUCAAACCGGGAGAUAGCUGGUUCUCCCCGAAAGCUAUUUAGGUAGCGCCUCGUGAAUUCAUCUCCGGGGGUAGAGCACUGUUUCGGCUAGGGGGCCAUCCCGGCUUACCAACCCGAUGCAAACUGCGAAUACCGGAGAAUGUUAUCACGGGAGACACACGGCGGGUGCUAACGUCCGUCGUGAAGAGGGAAACAACCCAGACCGCCAGCUAAGGUCCCAAAGUCAUGGUUAAGUGGGAAACGAUGUGGGAAGGCCCAGACAGCCAGGAUGUUGGCUUAGAAGCAGCCAUCAUUUAAAGAAAGCGUAAUAGCUCACUGGUCGAGUCGGCCUGCGCGGAAGAUGUAACGGGGCUAAACCAU
rnacentral:rRNA from 2 species